ensembl:lncRNA WASF3-AS1 WASF3 antisense RNA 1
ACAUUUGUCUUAUCUGAAUUGCUUUCUCAGGCAACCAUCCAUCCGGCCUUCCAGGUAGUAUUAAAAAACUAAAACUUACUAGAUCAUCUCAUCUGGACCAUGAGAAGUCAGACUCCUCACCCAUCAUGACUGCUUAAGACCACCUGUUCCCUGUUGACCAACUCCUCUUCCUUAUCUCUCCCUAAUUCCUGUUUUCUCACAUAUAGUUACCUUUCUUCCUGCUACAUAAACCCCUAAUUUUAGUAGGUCAGGAGGAUGGAUUUGAGGCUUAUCUCCAUCUCCUGAGCUAUAGCACCCAAUCAAAGCUUUCUUCCCUAGCAACACUCAUUGUCUCAGUGAUUGGCUUUCUGUGUGGCACGCAACUGGACCUAGACAAACCUCUGGCAUUUUGGUACACCUAGGCUGCUAACUGGGGGCAGCAGGUCAAUGUCCCCAUUUACCAACCCAAGCAAGUAAGCCCACCUGAGCCACAGAACCUUCUCCCUCCCUACAAAAGGCUCAGGAGUAGGAGGCACCAGACAGCUUUUAUCGUCUCUAACACUAACUCAGUUUUGAAUAAAUUGAAGAGCGAGGAAGAGUCAAAGGAAAAAAUGCUGGGUCAGUGAUUACCCUUGAAAAUACUUUGCAAUUACAAAAACAAACAUUUAAUGAACUGAUCCAGUUAGUCACCAACAGAAUACUUAAGUACGCCUCUUGAUUCCUUUAUUGGAAGAACUAUGACCCAUCCAAAUCAUUCUUCAAAGUCAGUCUGUCUGUGAAGAAUAAAACAAUGAUUGCUAAUAAAAUGUUUAGGACUAUUAGAGGUUAUAUAAAGUAUUAGUGUUAGGUCUGUAGUUUGUCCAGCUUUUCUGGGAAAUGUCUCAGUUUAGAGAGAUAAAACCUGGUUCACCUAACUGUGAACUAGAUCCCAGACAUGGCUGAAACUGGGCCAGGGUCCUUCCCUAAGAAUUUGGAGGUGGGACUAUGCUAUCCAGCUUGGUCUGGCUGCUGUCUUCAACUAUGGAAAUGGAUAACUCCCACCACAUGAAAUGGAGAAUGACAAAACUAGUCUGCAGCAAGAAAUCAGGAUGAAAUAACCGAGAAAAGCUGACAAAGGUGAAUUAAAGACAAGAACCCCUCAUCGGCUCUGCUGAAUCUCCCUUAGACCUCAUGGCAGACUAGGAAAGCUCGCUAACACCCAACCCCCUCUCCUCCCCACUGCAAGGGUCAGGUUUGCACUGUGGUUUGAUGGCUCUCUCAGCCUCCCCAGUUUCUACCCCCUUUUCUUUCACAUAGGUGAUAUCCUUAAUCAAAUCCUAUAGCUGUGAUCCCA